CGCCGUGCUGCAGGUUCUCGGAGCGCUUCACCGCAGUCUUCGCGCAAUGUUCAUGACUUUCCCGACUAUCCAGAGACGAGAACCUUCCGGCGAGCCGCACCUGCUACACGACGUCCAAGCACAAAGUUUCGCAACGGACAUCAGAAAGCGGGUGUGAACCUCCGAAAGCGACCUGGCUGCGAAGCAGGAGUUCGGUUCUCGAGCCGUUUUCCAUGUGAGUCCUGGAGCCACCAGACGUCCUCGUAUUGCCAGGUGAAGCAGGUGUGCGUGGAGUUGGAUCCUCGAGCCAGUGUCCCGUGUUAGUCCCGGCGCCGCCAGACCAUCGAGCUCUCCAACCCCAACCCAACCCGAGAGGCGGCCCUGCUCGGCUGCCUGAGCCUUCCGGCCCAACAGGCCAUGGUCCGGCGUGUCAGGAGGGCGGCCACGACCAAUGGGGUCCCUGAAUAGGGACUCCACCUAGUAUUGUAGGGAGCUGGCCCACUAAGGGCUGGUUUUCCGAACAACCUCUCUGUAAAUAAUACUUUAAUAAAUGUU
rnacentral:lncRNA from 1 species